rnacentral:rRNA from 1 species
UACAGAGGGUGCGAGCGUUAAUCGGAAUUACUGGGCGUAAAGCGCGCGUAGGUGGUUAGGUAAGCGAGAUGUGAAAGCCCCGGGCUUAACCUGGGAACGGCAUUUCGAACUGUCUGGCUAGAGUGUGGUAGAGGGUAGUGGAAUUUCCUGUGUAGCGGUGAAAUGCGUAGAUAUAGGAAGGAACACCAGUGGCGAAGGCGACCACCUGGGCUAAUACUGACACUGAGGUGCGAAAGCGUGGGGAGCAAACAGG